ACUAUUCAUGAGGCAAUCGGGGGCAGGGACGGGGGAACCACACACUGGUCCUCGACCGGCACACCGUUCGCGGUGGCCGACCGGAGGACCUUGGGGUGAAGCCGCUACCAGCGGCCGGGCAACUUCCUUCCCGCCCGAACCCGACAGCUAACCUCGCAGGCGUGCCGGAGGGAUUCC
rnacentral:sRNA from 1 species